CACCGUCCUCAUGAUAAUACUAUGAUUGGAAGCAUUUAAGAAUUAUAUAUAUAUUUAAUUCUUAAUAUUUUAAGAAUAUGUAUCGAAAUGUUAAUUCUAUGAAUGUUUCAAAGAUACAUCAUACUUGAAUAAAAAUAAACUUAUCCUUUUAUUGGUCAAAUCAAUGAAUUAAAUACAAAAUUAUACCCUAGAUUUGUUACAAUAUAUCAGUCAUAUUGACUUUUAGGACAUACAUCUAACACUACUCUCGUAGUUAAACCAUGUCAACUUCAAACCCUCUAGUCCGCAUCCUUGAGUCCAAUCAUUUGAUCAGAACUAAUUAUAAAGACUGUCUUAGAAACCUCAAAAUUAUUCUGACUUC
rnacentral:lncRNA from 1 species